UCCGAGUUGACCCCGGCAGUCUCCUAUGAGUCCCCACCAUAACGCGCUGGCAACAUAGGACAAGGGUUGCGCUCGUUACGGGACUUAACCCAACAUCUCACGACACGAGCUGACGACAGCCAUGCACCACCUGUCACCCACCAACCAAAUGACCCCACAUCUCUGCAGGUCCACGGGCAAUGUCAAGCCUUGGUAAGGUUCUUCGCGUUGCGUCGAAUUAAGCAACAUGCUCCGCCGCUUGUGCGGGCCCCCGUCAAUUCCUUUGAGUUCUAAUCUUGCGACCGUACUCCCCAGGCGGGAUGCUUAAAGCGUUAGCGGCGCCACCGAAGAGCAAGCUCCCCGACGGCUAGCAUCCAUCGUUUACGGCGUGGACUAC
rnacentral:misc_RNA from 1 species